GUUCCUACGGGGCGCAGCAGUGAGGAAUAUUGGUCAAUGGUCGGGAGACUGAACCAGCCAAGCCGCGUGAGGGAGGAAGGUACAGAGUAUCGUAAACCUCUUUUGUCAGGGAACAAAGGCGGGGACGUGUCCCCGGAUGAGUGUACCUGAAGAAAAAGCAUCGGCUAACUCCGUGCCAGCAGCCGCGGUAAUACGGAGGAUGCGAGCGUUAUCCGGGUUUAUUGGAUUUAAAGGGGGCGCAGGCGGUCUGGUAAGUCAGCGGUCAAAGCCCGGGGCUCAACCCCGGCCCGCCGUUGAAACUGGCG
rnacentral:rRNA from 1 species